AACGAACGCUGGCGGCAUGCCUAACACAUGCAAGUCGAACGAGACCUUCGGGUCUAGUGGCGCACGGGUGCGUAACGCGUGGGAACCUGCCCUUAGGUUCGGAAUAACUCCCCGAAAGGGGUGCUAAUACCGGAUAAUGUCUUCGGACCAAAGAUUUAUCGCCUUUGGAUGGGCCCGCGUUGGAUUAGCUAGUUGGUAGGGUAAAAGCCUACCAAGGCGACGAUCCAUAGCUGGUCUGAGAGGAUGAUCAGCCACACUGGGACUGAGACACGGCCCAGACUCGGACGGAAGGCAGCAGUGGGGAAUAUUGGACAAGGGAGGAAAGCCUGAUCCAGCAAUGCCGGGUGAGUGAUGAAGGCCGUAGGGUUGUAAAGCUCUUUUACCCGGGAUGAUAAUGACAGUACCGGGAGAAUAAGCUCCGGCUAACUCCGUG
rnacentral:rRNA from 1 species